GCCCUACGGGCGGCUGCAGUGGGGAAUCUUGCGCAAUGGGCGAAAGCCUGACGCAGCCAUGCCGCGUGAAUGAUGAAGGUCUUAGGAUUGUAAAAUUCUUUCACCGGGGACGAUAAUGACGGUACCCGGAGAAGAAGCCCCGGCUAACUUCGUGCCAGCAGCCGCGGUAAUACGAAGGGGGCUAGCGUUGCUCGGAAUUACUGGGCGUAAAGGGAGCGUAGGCGGACUGUUUAGUCAGAGGUGAAAGCCCAGGGCUCAACCUUGGAAUUGCCUUUGAUACUGGCAGUCUUGAGUACGGAAGAGGUAUGUGGAACUCCGAGUGUAGAGGUGAAAUUCGUAGAUAUUGGGAAGAACACCAGUGGCGAAGGCGACAACCUGGUCCAUUACUGACGCUGAGGCGCGACAGCGUGGGGAGCAAACAGGAUUAGAUACCCUGGUAGUCAU
rnacentral:rRNA from 1 species